CCUACGGGCGACAGCAGUAGGGAAUCUUUCACAAUGGGCGAAAGCCUGAUGGAGCAACGCCGCGUGCAGGAUGAAGGCCUUCGGGUUGUAAACUGCUUUUAUAAGCGAGAGAUAUGAUGGUAACUUAUGAAUAAGGAUCGGCUAACUACGUGCCAGCAGCCGCGGUCAUACGUAGGAUCCGAGCAUUAUCCGGAGUGACUGGGUGUAAAGAGUUGCGUAGGUGGCAUAAUAAGUAGCUAGUGAAAUCUGGUGGCUCAACCAUUCAGACUAUUAGCUAAACUGUUAAGCUCGAGACCGUUAGGGGUAACUGGAAUUUCUAGUGUAGGAGUGAAAUCCGUAGAUAUUAGAAGGAACACCAAUAGCGUAGGCAGGUUGCUGGGACGGUUCUGACACUAAGGCACGAAAGCGUAGGGAGCAAACGGGAUUAGAUACCCCUGUAGUC
rnacentral:rRNA from 1 species